rnacentral:rRNA from 1 species
GGUCCAGACUCCUACGGGAGGCAGCAGUGGGGAAUUUUGGACAAUGGGCGCAAGCCUGAUCCAGCUAUUCCGCGUGUGGGGUGACGGCCCUCGGGUUGUAAACCACUUUAGUAGAGAACGAAAAGGAGCUAUCGAAUAAAUAGCUCUGCUAACGGUACUCUAAGAAUAAGCACCGGCUAACUACGCGCCAGCAGCCGCGGUAAUACGUAGGGUGCGAGCGUUAAUCGGAAUUACUGGGCGUAAAGGGAGUGUAGGCGGUUUAGUAAGAUAGUGGUGAAGUCCCAGGGCUUAACUUUGGAAUUGCCAUUAUAACUAUUAGACUAGAAUUACAGAGAGGAUAGUGGAAUACCCAGUGUAGAGGUGAAAUUCGUAGAUAUUGGGUAGAACACCAGUGGCGAAGGCGACUAUCUGGCUGUACAUUGACGCUGAGGCUCGAAAGCAUGGGGAUCAAACAGGAUUAGAUACCCGCGUAC